rnacentral:lncRNA from 1 species
GAGGCCAGAAUGAAAGAUGUUGAGGAUUGUCAAGGUACAAUUGGCAAAGAGUUACCUACUCUUGAACUCAUGAAUGCUUGUUAUGCUAUCCACAAGGUGUUUGUGAGGAAUAGAAAUCUUAACCCCACUAAGAAAUAUUAGAAUAUUUUUUGAUUUUCAUAUUUGAGGGCUAUGAAGUUCGAUAAAAUAGUGGAAGACA